rnacentral:lncRNA from 1 species
GAAGCGGAGCCUGAGGCGCAUGCUGUUUAGCCCUGGUUAGUCAGCCCCUCUGCUGUGGUUCAGGCACAGAAGUAAGCAUGAGUGGAGGCAUAUGGGAAGUUGCAUGGCUGUUGGCACAAGACAAUUUAAAGGUUCUCUUCAAGAAAUGGGGAGGACUCAGUAGUGUGCUUGCUGUGCAAGCCUGAGGACCCGAGUUUGACUUCUAGAACCCAUGUUUAAAGUAAAAAUAAAGCAAAAAACCAAAACCCGAAAAAUCCAACUGGUGUGGUGAAAUGUACUUGGAACCCCUGUGCUGGGAAGGCUAGGGAGCCUGGCCUGCUCGGUGCCCCUGGCCAACGCGAGACCCUGUUUCAGAAAGGAGGAUGGAUGAUUCCUGAGGAAGAAUUACACCUCACGUUGUCUUCUAGCCUCCACACGCUUGCCCCAAUUCAGUAAAUACAAAGAUACAAAUAAAGGUCCCUUUUUGCCUUGCAUUCUGAGAUUCUUGGGUUUGUUGACCUUAAGUGUCUUUUCCAAGAUCACAUAGCAAAUUGUAGCAUGGAACUCAGUUCUCAGCUAUAGAGAGGGCUAAAAGCUACAUGCUCUAGUGUGACCUUUCUCUGCAUAUGUUGCUUGAAAGAGUUGAGAAGCUGGGUCAAGGAUUAAAAGGUUGGUGGCUUAUGGGAGCUGGGUGCAAGACUUCCGAAGUUCUGUGUCUCUGCAGUGAGGUAGGGUUGGGCGACGGCUUUCUCUGUCCUCUUUGCUUCCAGGGAAGUCAGAACACCCAUGAUGAUCUAGUUUAUACUGAAGAUGGCAGUUGAAGGCUCAGGCCACAGAAGUGACGCUGUCAGAGUCUUUCUUGGAUUGGCCUUGCUCACUGACUCCAUUAGUCUGUGUACUCUGCUUCCUCUCUGAGGCACAACGCUUAGCUCUUGGCAAAGUCCCCAGCUUUCUCUGUGCUAGGUCAGAUCAGAGCUCGUGCUAUGGCAUAGCGGGGAGGCAGGCAUGGGGAUGGGAGAGGCCAGUCAGGUGGUCAGCCCGCAGCCUUCCAGUGCACUGUCAGGGAGCCCUUCUGCACUGACCAGGUGCAGGCAAAGAAAGAGGUUAGGAGUGAAGAAAGAUUUCAAAGGGAUGAGGGUGGACAGAUCCAAGGUGGUGGUGUCCUCUGGUGGGACUCUGACAUGGAAGGGACAAAGCUCACUCUAGUGUAGUCUGUAAUUAUUUGUGCAAGCCUUAUCUGCUCCUGUUAGCUCCCAAAUAAUUGACACAAAGACCUAUUAAUUUUAUUAAUAAGCUGCUGGGUUAGUUUUGAGCUAUUCUAACCCCCCAAGGCUGUCUAAUUCCCAGCCACAGGUCAUAUACCUUCACUCUGAGUCUUGCCCCAGCACCCUUACGUCCAUAUGUGUCCUCAUGUUUGCUCUGUCAUCAAGCCCUCAUGGUAUAUAUUCCUUGGCAACCUGCUCAUCACAGCUCCUCAGUCCACCUCCUCUUCUCCCCUGUCCUGGUCCUUCUCUUUCUUCCCUCUACCUGGCACCUCUGGCUGGUAUCAGAAGUCCAGCCUUCCUAUUUCACCUGCCCAGUCACAGACUGAAUCAGCUCUUUAUUGACCAAUCAGAGAUGAUGGAAAACAGUUUUUACAUAACAUUGAGACAUGAGAUGGUUCACAGUGCUGGUCAUGCUUCAUGCUUGCCCAUCCAGACUGUAGGCUGAUGUCUGGGCAGAGAGAUCAGCAUCUGAACACAGUGCACAAGGCCAGCCCUAAGACCCUCUGACCUUGGAGGGAGCAACAGACAGACAGCGAGGUGAGGGUGGGGACUCAGAGUGCUGCAUCACUGCGGGCGUUUCUGUAGUGACUGACACUGCUGCUUUAUAGGGGAGUGAGCAGAUUAGACUGGUUUUCAAUGCUUAGCCUUUCUGCCUUUUAAAAAACUAUUGUUUGGGCUACAUGUAUGUCUGCAUAACACAUGGGUACCUAGUGCACUUAUAACCCAGAAGAUGGCAUCAGAACCCCAGACCUGGAGUUACAGAUGGGUUUGAGCUGCCAUGCCGGUGCUGGGAAUUGAACCUGAGUCCUCUAGAAAAGUAGCUGGUGCUUUAAGCCACUGAGUCAUCCAUCUCUCCUGACCCAACUUUAGUGUUUUUUGAAGACGUCCCUGUCUUACUCUAGAAAUUUCCUGAAGAUAAACUUUAUCUGCAUUUAAAUUCCCUUUUAGGAUGAAAGCCUUAAAAGAGUGAUUUUCUCUCUGCACCUGGAGAUGCUGAUAUAUCUCAGGCAGGUAUACAGAGUGCUGUGAUAGGGAAGACAAGAGGGGAUAACUAACUGAAGACAGGUUAGAACUGCUUUGAACUGAAUGGUUUUUGUUGUUGUUGUUUUUUCUUUGUCCUUUCCUUUCCUUUCCUUUCCUUUUUUCUUUUCCUUCCUUCUUUCCUUCCUUCCUUCCUUCCUUCCUUCCUUCCUUCCUUCCUUCCUUCCUUCCUUCCUUCCUUCCUUCCUUUGUUUUUUGCUUCUUUACAAGGAAGUUGCAGAGAACUGUGUUUUCUAGGUCCUCUCCUUUCCUCCCAUGCAUUGUCAGUGACUUGCUGUGCCCUGCUUGGUACUUUCCUGUCUGUCCAGCAGAGCACACAUCUGCAGUCUUUCCUUCUCCACUGGGUUGAAGCGCAUUGAAUUCUACCUUAUUUCAUACGAGGCCAGUUGUAGCACAUCCUCAUCAUGGGUGACUCAUUAAUUUAACGACUUUAAAAGAGCUUACUAUGUACCUGUUCUAUGACCCUGUUCUAGCUGACAGGAGCACUUGUGAACACGGACGUAGAGGAAGUCACCCAGCAAACCAAAGACAACCAGGAUGGGGACAGGGGAAAGUGUUUCAGUAUGAGUGUAAGCACGUGCAGAGGUCCCGAGACUGAAGGACACUGGGUAGAUGAGGGAACAUGCUGGCACAGCUGGAGCAAAGGAGUCACACGUGUAAUAACCAUAGUGACAACAGAUGACAUCGAGCAGACUUUGAGGAUACUCUGAAGCAAAGGGAGAUUACUUCAACCAUUUAAAGAAUCCACAGAGAUGUAACAAAAAGAUUGACCUAGGCGGGGUUGUAGCUGUAUUGGCUCAGGACACAUCUAGAGCCGAGAGAGGGUGUUGCGGUUUCCCUCCUCCGGCAACCCUCCUUGAUGGGGACUCUCGGUUCAGAGGGCGUGUUCUCUCCUGCACAGUGCACACCUGCACGGAUGCUCACCCGUGCAGAUGGGCAAUUGCAUGCCUAAUCACCCACUUAUUUGUUUUCCACAUGCAAAUUUGGGGUUUUUUUGCAGAUGGAUUUAAUAUAUUUGUUGCUUCCCCAUUUUAUUUAAAACAAAGCAAACGGCCAACCAUGUCAGUUGUGGGUAGCAAAUAGAAAUGUGGAUAUUAUUUUCUUUGGUGUCAGUUUCAAUAACAUGGCUGAAAGGGAUCUCAGGCAAAUGAGUCUUUUCUGGGCUCAAUUUUACUUUUGUUUUCUGUCACCUUUUUAAAGUUAUAAUUAUUAUUUUUUAUUCCUUUAAAGAGUUUUAAACAGGGGUAUGCUGUUAUUUUAUUUUCGCAAAUGCUUUUCUUGAUGUUCAGGCUCUGUAUUUUUAUUGUGUGGUUUUUGACUUUUUUCAUUUUAGUUUGUGAAGUUUGUGAACUUUUGGGCCUGUUAUCCUAAAAAGGCAUUAUAGUGUCUCCACAGGCCAUUGGCAGGUGAUGUAGAGAUGUAGCCUGGAAAUAAAUAAACCAACACAAAUGAGGAGUGUUUACUCCUUCCUGUUGAUGCUUUGUUAGUCCUGAUCACACAGCAGCAUGCAAAGUCUACUUUUGUUUAUAGGGGAGGCAUGAACUCGAGGGUGUGCUGCGUUUGCUUGUAUUCCUUAUGGAAUUUCAAAGCUCUAGGGUCAGGAACAGCAUGUAUGUUACUGUAUGCUUAGGAACACAGGCUCAGAGAGAAAAAAUGGCAGGUUUGAGGAGACAGCGCAUGGUUGAUUCCGUGGCCUGGGAUGAUGAAGAACAGUCAACCCUGCAGAGGGUAUCAUCUCAAGGUGGGGUUUGUGUUAAAUGGUGUCUAUGUGUCUCAUUUUCCCUUAUUUUAAAAAAAAAUAAAAAAGCAACCCAUUUUGUAUUGAAUUUU